ACCUAGAAACUUCUAAUCAGUAAUAGAUGAGAGAGAAAGUGCCAAAAACCUUUAGCAAAUCCUCUCCUCGAUUCCCCAUCGCGCGACGCCUCUCCCCCUCCACGAUCAACUUUUCGGCCAACGCUCGACGAGAGCAAGUGGCGAUCAGGUCCCUUCUUGCAGUCGGUCACAUUUCUGGCCUUCCUUAAUGCCGAAGGGGCCUGCAGUGGAGCGAGUCAAGUUGUCUCCUUCGACAGCUUCUUCUUCUUCUUCUUCUUCAUCUCAGUGCUUUCCAGCGAUACCUAUUAGCAAGGUUACAAAUCUUCCAGUAUCUGGUGACUCUUUGCCAACUGACAUUUAGAGGAAAUGUUGAGAAUGAAACCUUGAUUAAUUUUGUUUAGUUGUAUUGAAGGAAAUUUUAAAUUUUUAGAUAGUUCCGCAAUUACAAUACUUAUGUGUGAUAAAGUUAGAAAUUAUAAACGUAUUACUUAUUGAAGCUUCUAUUAUGUAAUAUAUUGAUACGAGUUUAGAGAAAUUUGGAAAUUGAUUUGUCACUGAGUAUGAUGAUAUGGGCCAAACGAGCCGAAGACUUAUGAUAUUAUGAAUGUUGAUGACAUUGGGCUUGAGGCCAUUUCUAUUGAAUAGGAAGUUUGUUUAGUAUAUUUUUAGGCUUA